rnacentral:rRNA from 1 species
CCAGACUCCUACGGGAGGCAGCAGUGGGGAAUCUUAGACAAUGGGCGCAAGCCUGAUCUAGCCAUGCCGCGUGUGUGAUGAAGGCCUUAGGGUCGUAAAGCACUUUCGCCAGGGAUGAUAAUGACAGUACCUGGUAAAGAAACCCCGGCUAACUCCGUGCCAGCAGCCGCGGUAAUACGGAGGGGGUUAGCGUUGUUCGGAAUUACUGGGCGUAAAGCGCACGUAGGCGGAUUUUUAAGUCAGAUGUGAAAUCCCAAGGCUCAACCUUGGAACUGCAUUUGAAACUGGGAAUCUAGAGAUCAGGAGAGGUUAGUGGAAUACCGAGUGUAGAGGUGAAAUUCGUAGAUAUUCGGUGGAACACCAGUGGCGAAGGCGGCUAACUGGACUGGUACUGACGCUGAGGUGCGAAAGUGUGGGGAGCAAAC